GAUGAAGAACGUAGCGAAAUGCGAUAAGUAAUGCGAAUUGCAGAAUUUCCGUGAGUCAUCGAAUCUUUGAACGCACAUUGCGCCCAUUGGUAUUCCGAUGGGCAUGCCUGUUCGAGCGUCAUUUGAACCUUCAAGCUUUGCUUGGUGUUGGGUGUUUGUCUCGCCUUUGCGUGUAGACUCGCCUUAAAAUAAUUGGCAGCCGGCGUAUUGAUUUCGGAGCGCAGUACAUCUCGCGCUUUGCACUCAUAACGACAGCGUCCAAAAGUACAUUUUACACUCUUGACCUCGGAUCAGGUAGGGAUACCCGCUGAACUUAAGCAUAUCAAUAAGCGGAGGA
rnacentral:misc_RNA from 1 species